UGUUCUCUAUUCCAUAGAGUUCAGAGAAGGCCAACUACUUGCAAGACUCCAGCAGGCAAGGAAGACGCCAUCAUGCUUUCCUUGGCAAACUUACAGACCUAACGGGAGACGUGAAUCUCACUGGUAACAAAAUACAAAGCGGAGUGGGCGGGCGGAGAAAGGAACAGCUUCCCACUGGGAGGCACAAGAGGACUUCACUGAAUUAACUGACAGGACAAAGAGAAACUGAGAGCAGAAGGGGUGAGAGGAAAGGAUCGAGAAAGAGAUUUCACGUGGGGACCAGGGAUUUGAACUCAGGUCCGUGUACGUAGUAACACGUGCACUCAAUGGGGUGUGCCGCCCGCCCAGCCCCUGGUCUAUGACUCUUAGGGAACUCUAUUCUGAUGGUCACUGAGUCUGCAAAGAAGUGAAGACUUUCUGGCCAGCUGUGUGUCGACACCACCAAGACUCAGGCAAGUGCAGGGCCCCAUCACUCACGGAUGACUCCAAGCCCCUUCUUCUAGUUCAGGGUCCAGUGGACCCUCUGCCUGCUCCCCUCCCCACAAGCCUUCACUCCCAGUCUCCCACCAGAGAAAGCAAGAAGGUGCCCACGAUGCUGCCCACCACCCCACCCCUGUAAUCAACAGCAUCUAGAACUCUAUCCCAGGACCACUCACAUUGGUGUCUCCGGAGGCCUUGAUUAGGGCGUGUGGAAUACUGACCCGGGACACGCAGAAUAACACCCUCACCCUGGCUGGUCUGUAUUCAGCCAGGAGGAAGGUGCCUCUGCUGACAGGCAGCUGAAGGUCUGUCUUUGUUUCUGGCUCUGAACAUAACAGCCCAAAUGUUUCCAUUAGCACUUAGUACUCGUGUGGUUUUGAGUGACACAACUAAUCUCUCUGAGCCACUGGUUCCCCUGCAGCUAACUUGGGAUAGCGCCCACCUCACAGGGUUGCUUAUGAAGGAGUUACAGCAGUGUUUCAAGCGCUCAGAGCAGUGCCUGAGCAAGCAGCCCUCCUUGGGGUCGCGGUUAUUCUGUCUCAGCUUGACAGCUCUCCUUGCCCCCUGGCUCUCAGCAAAUGAGCGAGCGGCCUUCCUGCUGGGGAUAUCUGGUGACUGGGUGAGCUAUCUAGAUCGGAGAGGGCAGAGGGCGAAAGGGCUGCCUCCCUCCAAGCCCAAGUAGGCUCAUCCCUGACUGAAGCUGCUGCUCCAGGUUCCUUUCAUCUCAGCAAAGUGAAGAUGGGGGUUGGGUUUGGAGGUGAGGAGUCACAGGUUGGUUUUGAAGCCAAGGCUG